UCCGUAGGGUGCAAGCGUUGUCCGGAUUUAUUGGGUUUAAAGGGUGCGUAGGUGGCUGAUUAAGUCAUGGGUGAAAGCCCGCAGCUCAACUGUGGAAUUGCCUGUGAUACUGAUUAGCUUGAGUGCGGUUGAUGCAGCUGGAAUUGGUGGUGUAGCGGUGAAAUGCAUAGAUACCACCAGGAACACCGAUUGCGAAGGCAGGUUGCUAAGCCGUAACUGACACUGAGGCACGAAAGCAUGGGGAGAAAACAGG
rnacentral:rRNA from 1 species